GAAGGUCGCAUCAUCCCAAUGCCGGAAGAGGUGACAACCGGCCUGAGAACCAAAAUUGUUGGAUACAGACUGCCCACCGUGUCACCGGCGAGAAGCAGUCUGGCGGCCGAAAGGCUGCUGGUUCUUCCACGUCGUUGGCGUAUGGGUGCAAAAAUAUGGGAUAUAUAGUUGCCUGUUCUCGCGCUCUGUGGACUUUCGGUCGUCGUCCUCAUAGCAGACCCGUUGUGCUAAGCACGAUGGGAUGCUCGGGCGUCUUGACCGUUGUGGCUACGCUGGCGCAUGAGAUGUUGUGGACAUGUGGCUGCCUGGAGGCCCCCCGUCGUUGUGCGGCCGACUCCAGGUGCAGUGUCCUUUCAAUUGUAUGGGUUUCAAAACCUAUGUCGUUGACGAGUGCUUGCGUUCUGCUACCCGUUCUGCGGGAAGUAGAGCUUCGUACAACUUACCUUCGUCGCGUGCGCCCUUUGGGYGUGUCGCGUCGAUCACCUAGCGCUUGCGGUGUUGCCUCGCGGCGUCAGCCAUCUAGGUCGGCAUCGUCUAGGACACCUCGCAAUCGCUCUUGGU
rnacentral:misc_RNA from 1 species